rnacentral:rRNA from 1 species
GGAAUUGUUCGCAAUGGGCGCAAGCCUGACGACGCAACGCCGCGUGGAGGAUGAAGGUCUUCGGAUUGUAAACUCCUGUUGACCGGGAAGAAUGGGCACCGACUGAAUACGUCGGGGCAAUGACGGUACCGGUUGAGGAAGCAACGGCUACCUCUGUCCCAGCAGCCGCGGUAAUACAGAGGUGGCAAGCGUUGUUCGGAAUUACUGGGCGUAAAGGGCGCGUAGGCGGCCUUCUAAGUCGGACGUGAAAUCCCCAGGCUUAACUUGGGAACUGCGUCCGAUACUGGAAGGCUCGAGUGCGGGAGAGGGAUGUGGAAUUCCAGGUGUAGCGGUGAAAUGCGUAGAUAUCUGGAGGAACACCGGUGGCGAAGGCGGCAUCCUGGACCGACACUGACGCUGAGGCGCGAAAGCCAGGGGAGCAA